UACGUAGGCAGCAAGCGUUGUUCGGAGUUACUGGGCGUAAAGGGUGCGUAGGCGGCUUUUUAAGUUUAGUGUGAAAUCUCCCGGCUCAACUGGGAGGGUGCGCCGAAUACUGAGAGGCUAGAGUGUGGGAGAGGAAAGUGGAAUUCCUGGUGUAGCGGUGAAAUGCGUAGAUAUCAGGAGGAACACCGGUGGUGUAAACGGCUUUCUGGACCAUAACUGACGCUGAUGCACGAAAGCGUGGGUAGCAAACAGG
rnacentral:rRNA from 1 species